UAUUACAUGUAAGAACUACUCCCCAACACCGCUUCACUGCUAUGAGGAUGACAACACAUCAAACCAGAAUAUACUUCCCAGUAAUGUGGCAUGUAGUUCUGCCUGCUUCUAGUGAAGUUAUUUUCUCAUGAAAUAAAACAGAAGUGAAGAGCAGGAAUGUAAGAGUCUAACGGGACAGUUUCCCAGGAAGGGGUUAAGAUUAAGAGACUCCUCCUCCUACUAGUAUGUAAUGAACUCUUAGCUAAUGCAUUUCAGACGUACUCAUAUCUCAUUCUUAAUAACGUAUCUCUAAGUCAUAAGGACCCAGAGGAAGCAGUGGGAACCAGCCAGAAACACGAUCCACCACCAUCAUGAUUUCCAAUGCCGUAAAAUCCAUGUUGAAGGAAGUAGAUUCUAACGGUACCCUGAUCCCUGUGUCCAGUCUGAACGACAGCUCUGGUAACUGAAUCUCCUCUCACUCAUUGUGAAGACCAAGCCCAGAUGUGGAUGCUUCUGGCAGGAACCGAAAUACCAGUCCAGAGGCUUUCCCUGAGUGAUGUGCUGAUUCUGGAGAACCUGAAGACAAACUUUAAACCCAGAUGUGAAGGAGUCUGACUUCGUGGACCACAGUGGGACAUUUGGUGACAAGAAAGAAAUGAACUCAGAAGGAAAUGUGGAGGGAUUGGCAGCUGAUUUAAAACUUAACUUGGGCUUAAAAAGCUUCAGCGAACAAGAGUCGUCCUUUGGCAGACUGAAGAAAGAGGAGGUGGAAGUGAAGGAGUUGGUUAACUAUUCGAAAAACAAUGUAGAUGAAGGGGAGGAGACAGGAUCGGGAUCCCUAUACCGGGACGGUUGAGCUAACGUGUGCUAAUGUCAUUAGCAUGGCAGUUGUAAGUAACAUCAAACUUUCCAGAACAUAGACAUGUCUUAUAUGUGAAUAAAGCUUAAACUCUUGUUAAUCUAA